UACGUAGGGGGCGAGCGCUGUCCGGAGUACUGGGCGUAAAGCGCACGCAGGCGGUCUGCUAAGUUUGGAGUGACAGUUGGUGGCUUAACUGCCAAAGUGCUUCGAAAACUGACAGACUUGAGGGCUUCAGAGGGACACGGAAUUCCGGGUGGAGUGGUGAAAUGCGUAGAGAUCCGGAGGAACACCAAAGGCGAAGGCAGUGUCCUGGGGAGUACCUGACGCUCAGGUGCGAAAGCCAGGGGAGCGAACGGG
rnacentral:rRNA from 1 species